CGCUGGCGGCGUGCUUAACACAUGCAAGUCGACGGUAAGGCCCUUCGGGGUACACGAGUGGCGAACGGGUGAGUAACACGUGGGUGAUCUGCCCUGCACUUCGGGAUAAGCCUGGGAAACUGGGUCUAAUACCGGAUAGGACCAUGGACUUCACGGUUUGUGGUGGAAAAGCUUUUGCGGUGUGGAAUGGGCCCGCGGCCUAUCAGCUUGUUGGUGGGGUAAUGGCCUACCAAGGCGACGACGGGUAGCCGGCCUGAGAGGGUGUCCGGCCACACUGGGACUGAGAUACGGCCCAGACUCCUACGGGAGGCAGCAGUGGGGAAUAUUGCACAAUGGGCGCAAGCCUGAUGCAGCGACGCCGCGUGAGGGAUGACGGCCUUCGGGUUGUAAACCUCUUUCAAUAGGGACGAAGCGCAAGUGACGGUACCUAUAGAAGAAGCACCGGCCAACUACGUG
rnacentral:rRNA from 1 species